GUCACCUAUAAAGUCAUGCAGUUGUCGUCGUGCAAUUCUGUGGGCACGUAGAAAUGCAGCACAAAUGUAGCAAGCAGAUUCCAAUCUCCCUACAAUAAAAUAAGUAACCAGUUUUCGGGGGCAAAUGCUUGAUUGAAGCAACCUGUAGUAACUCGGGAAAUGAACAUUAGCUUUUAAGCCCUUCCAAUCACAUAAAGGCCCAAUAGAGGCCAUGUCAAUUGCUUCAUCUACAGAUUGCAUCAAAAUAUUUGCAGUCAUUU
rnacentral:misc_RNA from 1 species